GAUAGAAAUCAGAUAGACCAUUCGCUUCUCUGUCUUCUAGUUCGUCUAUAUCUUUCACAAUCAACAAAACCAAUCUAAAGCUUGUUCUAAGUUUUCUAACAUUCAAAAUUCAUUCUAAAUCUCAUUUUAAGUUUUCUCUAAAUUUCUCUACCAAAUCCCAUCUCUCAUUCAACAAUUGAAUAUCAGAAUUCAUUUCAUUUAUAGACACUAAUCUUCGCUUAAUCUUGGGGCAAAAGAAAGAGAAACGGAACAGUCAAGGAUAAAAUAAAAUGGACUGUAGGAUUAAAAUAUUUAACCAAAUUGGUGUUCUUUCAUUUUCUGAGGGUCCUAGCCGGCAAAAGUAAAUAUUAUGCCACCAAAUAAUGUCAUACCAAUUUUUCGGAGCUAAACCAAUCAGCUAAUGUAUAUUUUAUUGUUAUUGAAAUUAAAGUUCAGACAUUUUUCUGUUACAAAUUAAUUAUUAUGUACUACUAUAUUACAACUCCUUAAUUUAGACAGUAUCAGUGAAAAUCACCCAAUUAAUAGUCAAAAUUUAACUAUUUUAUAUAUAAUGAUUAUAAUAAAAUUUCUCCUAAUUCAGCAUUAAUUAAUCUGUCCUUGAAUAAUUGAUAAUUAAUUAAAAAAAAGUGUGUAUAAUAAAAUAUUUUCAAACGUAGAUCAAAAUGGAAGUAAAGGAUAGCUUAGCUAAAUUAAAUAUUUUAUAGGUGAAAAGUCUAAAUUUAUAUAUUUAUAACUUAAUUAAUGAUAUAAAUUUGGAAAAAUAACAAUUUAGCCCCUCAAAUUUAGUGAAAUUUACUAGUUAGUUCAUUGAUUUAAAAAAACUCAUUAAAACAUUUUUGAGAUAUUAAAAAAUCUACUAAUCAGUUAUUUGUUAACUAAUCAGUUAUUUGUUAACUUUAGACAUUGAUUUAACUUUAGACAUUAAAAAAUCUUUCAUUUUAGACUUUUCUGAAUACUUAAUGGCUAAAAUUAAUGGACGGACUAAUUAGUAGAUUUUCUAAUAUCUCAUAGAUGUUUUAAUGUGUUUGUCAAAACCAAAGGGACUAACUAGUGAGUUUCACUAAACCUAAGGUACUAAUAGUAAUUCUCCCUAUAAGUUUUAACUUUUAAAUCUAUCGUGGGUCAUAUGGAAGUGUUUAGUUUGGUUACGCAUGCAAAUAACUAAUUGUUGGAAUUUGCAAUAACAAAAGCUAAAUUAGGGGCAAAUUAAAUACUAAAAAAUUAAAUAACUAAUCUAAUAUAAGCUCGAUCUCAUUAUAUGACAAAGGAAAUAUUUUACAAUAAAUAAAUAUUUGCCAGCAAUAACUUAAAUAAUUUUUUUUUCGAAUUUUUCCUUCUCGUAAAAUACAAAGACUACAAGUCUACAAGAUAACAUUAUCCCUUCCUCAAUCUUAAUCCAAGCUCCCAUCAGUUUCUUCUUCUUCUUCUUCACCUUGUUCUUGCUUGAAGCAAAAUAACUUGCUUAAAUGGUAGUAGAGUGAAGCUCUUUGUUCUUGCUCCAUUUGUGCAAAAUAUAGCCAGAAACAUCAUAGAACACAAUUCUACUUGAGUUUGUGUAAUCUCCAUAGACAUGAAACCUUGACCAUCAUGAAAAACUGCAUUUCCUUCGGAUUCCACCAAUCUACAUCUCCUGUCCAAGCUUUCGAGCUGCCUCCGCUCAUCAAAAAUUGAAGCAAACUGCAAUACAUGCACCCACAUGCGUACACACAUAUAAAUAAAUCUUCUUUGCGAAGUUUUCCUUCUUGAAAACCUUUUCUGAAAUGUUUACUCCACUACUGAGGAAAAUGUGCAUAUUCCUCUAAAUCUAAUCUGCUUUUUUUUUUUCUUUUUCUACAUGUACUUAACCGUUAGUAAAUGCAAAUUGGGACCCAGACCAGCCAAAAGGUCAAAAUUUCUUUAAAAUGGUAACUUCGAAUUUUAUCCACUGAUAUCUGAAUUUUUUUGCCAUUCUAAUAGAUAGUACAAUUCUAUUGUUGGAAAGCCUCGGAGAUGCUUAUUUCUCACCAGGAAAGUUGCAAGGUAAUACAAUUAUCGCAAUCACAAAGGGAGAAAAUUAUUGCCUUGAAGUCUUUCGUUUGAGGGAUCAUCAGCUGGUGGAAUUGGUGUUCAGCUGUGAUGACAACAACCAGAAAUGUGAACUUUCCUUUGAUUGGGCAAAAUUUUCUGCUGCCAUUAUUGCAUGGGAAGAUUAUUUACAUAAAUUACACAGAGUUACAAUUGAGCUUACCAUAUUGGAGAACGGAGGGAAUUAUAUACAUUGUUCCAUUUGAAGGUUCUUGACAAGGGAUUUCAAGUUGUUUAUAACAGUAGUCACUUGAGCUGCAACAUUGGCCGGUUUUGUUGUUCGGCAAUUUCCUUCCCCUUGCACUUUUACGUUUUCUUAAUGUAUGUAUUUCUACUCUAAGUUCGAUUUUCUAAUACGAUUCAAACAGCAUAAGAUCAAAUUAUUUAUGUUGAUUUUUUGUGGAAUCUGUAAAAUGAGUAAAAUUGCUCUACAUGUUGAUUGAAACUCAAAGCAAUCCAAUGAUUGGAUCUCUCCUUGUGCUCUGAAAAGGAAUGCGUGGAAAUCACGACAGUUCAUCCUCUGGAAAGAUGCAGUGUUUCAGCAGAAAGAAAAAGGUAAUCAUCAAAGUUUUUUAAAUAAAACUAACUGUAACUACCAAUAUGAAUUUUUACAUUUGUACAUCAGUACGGAAGCCUAUAAAGCGUAGUUCACCUAUGUUUUUUGAAGAUCAUUACAAAUUCUCUCUUUUAUUUGCAUCUGCCCUGCAUUUUUUUUUUCUAUUUAUAAUAGUGAUGGUAUAAUCCUAUUAGGUAUUAUCGAUUCUUGCAUCUUUAUGCAGCUGAGUGACUCUCUUUGGAUAUGCUCCAUUGGUGCAAAACACUGCCAAAGGCAUCAUAGAAUGCAAAAGCGGCCGUGGAGUCGGUCAUUUGCACUGACAUAAAUCCUUGGCCAUCAUAAUAUAACUUCAAUUCCUCUGGAUCCCACUUCCUUAUAUCACCCCUCCAGGCCUUUGAGCCGCCUCCACUUGUUAUGAAUUGAAUGUUGCUGCAUUGAGAAACAAUUGAUUUAAUGUUUUGCAUAAACCUUUUUAAUGUUGUUUCUUGUGGAAAUCUAUAGGUUGUACCUGUGACUGCUGCUGAUAUGUUGGAUACAGUGAUCAUGCCCGUUUAUGUAAGCAUCAACAUUAUGUUCCUGGGAAAAUAAUUGAGAAAAAAAUUGCAACUUCAAGGUUCAUGAAUAUUCUUUUGGUAAUUACUGGCUGAUUCAUUUAUUUUUAAAUUACCUGUAGAAUUGGAACAAGCUGCUGAAGAAGCUCUACUGUGAUUCCAUGAUGUCCUGCACUUAAGAUGGCAUGGUGACCAACAAGAAGUUUCCAUUUUGCAGUGGAGCUGCUCAGUGCUGCAUCCACAUCCUAUUACAGAGGUGAAAUCAAAUCCAUCAUUACCUUUCCCCGUUGUGGAUUGAAUUAUUUGUUUUAUUUACCCUUUAAAUUUUGAGAAUAGCUUUUAAAUUUCUUUUUGGAAUAAAUAAAUAUAAGAAUUCAUUUCAACUUUUGCAUCAAAUGUGGAUUUAUUAGUAAAUUUCAUAAAAUAUGCAUGGGAAUUUUGAAGCAUUACCUUCAACAGAUUUGCAAGGUAAGUCUCCCUAGGAGAAAUACCUUUCCAGUCAUAGUUGUGUUCUGGGUUUGUGAAGUAGUCAUUCACAAAUGGCGAUGUGUCCACAAAGAAAAUUUCAACAAUUUCUACAGAAAUAAGACAAAAAAAAAAAAAAUUAAAAUAUUAAUAUCAAUUAUGCCCUGAACAAAUCUCAAGCAGUUUGUUGCUUCAGGAUUUAAAUUUUUAGAAAAAAAAAAAAAAUUAGGACUUUUAUUUCUUCUUAUUUUUUUGUUUACCUGCAUUGACUAUAAAUGACCUCAUGCAAAGCCAUCUGCUAUCCUUUUGUGUGAGGAUUGGAUUCAACUGUGCUUCAACAUCACCUCUGUAAUCAUGGUUACCCAAAACUGCAGAAAAGAAAAUAAUGAAAAUAUUAAUUAAAUUAAUGGAUUCAUAUUUCUCAAAGCAUUGAAUAAUAUAAUAAUUGUAUUAAAUUUGGAGAAUUAACAUACCACUGUACCAUUGCUUUUGCAAGCUUGGGGCUGUGUAGAUAUUAGUAAAAGACUCAUAAAAAUUUGGAUCGUCAAUUCCUGUCAAGCCAUCUUCAUAAAAAUUAUCUCCAGUAGAUAUCACAAAAUCUAUGUCCAGUUCCUCUCCAAUUACUCCCAUCUGAAAAUCAUUUUACCAAAUAUAAAUAUAUACAUUUAUCAAAAAUGAUUAUUGAUAUCAUGUGAAUUUCUUCAGAAUUUUUUAAAAAAAUUAAAUAGAGAAACUUAUGAACCCAAUUCUUCUACGUUACUCAAUAUUGAAGAGAAGUGUUGCUUCAAGAGAUAGAUAAUUUCUUUAUAAAUUUUUUUCUCUUUUAGCACAUCUAAACAUAUUUUUUUUUACAUAUUCAUUAUUCAUUUCAUUAUAAAAUUUUUUAUUCUCAAAGAAAAGAAGAGAAUGGUGCAGGAAGAAAAAUUAAUACGAGACUAAAGCAGGAGAAAAUUCAUCUAUGGAUGUAAAAGAAGAAAAAGAAAAACAAGAGUACCUGUAAAGCAACUUCAGAUUGGUUGUAAAGUCCUCUUCUUCCCCAAUCUCCAAUCACCAGGAAGCUAAGGGAACCAUCAGAUUUCAAUGGCUGCUGGAAACUUUGAAGCUCAGCCAGUGAAGAAAAAGAGCAGAAACAGAUGAUGAAUGCUGCAAAAAUAAGAGGAAGCAUGGUGGGUUCUGUAAAGGCCAUGGUUGGAUUGUGAGUUGAAAUUGUGAAAGAAGGGAUUCUCCAAGCAGAAAAUUUAAAGGGGAAGACGAGAGUUAUUUUUGGCGAUCAAGUUCGAUAGUUGGCCAUGCAAAGUUAUUAUAUUUAGUAUUUGAAACCUGCAUCGCAUAUUUUUUUAUAUACUUGUAAUUUAACUUGUUUUUUAAAAAAAUUGUUAAUUUUUUAUAAAUAAUAUUAAUAUGUUAUAAUAUAUAGAAUAAGAUGCAUAUUUUUUUAAUAGCCCUGUGAGUAGAAUUCAAUGAGAGGAAACAUUUACUUCUUAAUAUUAGUAUUAUAUUGCUGCUACUAAAUAUAUAUCUAACAUUUUCUAAAUUAUUGGACAAGAAAAAGAUUCAACUAAAAACUAGACAAAAUAAAAAACUUGCCUUGAAUGUAUGAAGUUCAUAAAUUUCAACUUAUAUUAAAUAAUAAAUUUGAAAUAAUGAAAUAUUUUGUUUUGUUUUAAUUGAUAUGGAAGAGGAUAUUAAGAAUAAAAAUCUAAAAAAGACUAAGGAAUUAUUGAUUAUCAAAAAGGAUAAAAAAGAAACAUACAAAAUAUUAUGAGUUCACGAAAUUUAGUGCGUGGAACUUCAAUUUAUGAUAAUAUUUAAAUAUUUACCUGAAAUAGUGAGUUUCUGAUGAAAUGCACAUAUGGCAUGUUCUACGUGGCUAAAAGAAGUGAAAAAAAUUUCUUUAUCACGUCCAGGAUUAUUAACCUCAGCAGGACAUAGUUUUUUAACCCUUUUGCAAUCCCUUCAAUUUUGUUUAUGAUGGUACUUGCCGAAAAUUUGGAGGUGACUAUAGACCAUGUCCUCACCGUCAUUGGCUCCCUCUUUCGCUGGCUCCCUCUUUCGCUGUCGUUGCAGUUGCAGUUGCAUCUGCUUUUACCAACCAGUCGUCGUCUGCCACUUCAUCGUCGUCGUCUUCAUUCCUGAUAGAGGACCUGGCUAUGAGAUUCACGAGGGAUUGUAGUGGUGGCACAUAGAAAACUGCAGUUGCACUUGGUCUUUCUUGCUCCCACCCUUGCGAAAGUCUGGGCAGGUUGUACCAAAGUUGUGAUACCUGCAAAGAUCUUGGCGGCGAGCCUUCUCCCUAGGAUGAGCGCAUGGACAUUCCGUCCAGCCAUGUGACCUUCCACAUGCGCAAUAUCUCACCUUGAACUCAUACAUGCAACAAUGAUCACAAGAGAAGCAUCCACAGGUGAGUUCAAGUCAUCGCUCAAUGAGUUUUACUCGUUUAGUGGAGCGCCGUUAAGGAAUCAAGGAAAGGAAAACUGGUAUUUCCAUAGUUGCUGAAUGGGGAGAGUAGGGAUGACGUCGACUCGUUGAAAAAUGGGUGCCAAUGAGGGAUUUGGAUGAUCAGAUUGGAAUGGAGAAACUCUGACGUGGCAAAGGAAUUUUUUUCCUCUUUUUUUGUAACGACCCGAAAAUCGGACCGCUACCGGCGCUAGGAUCCAGGUCGACUUAAGGCCGCCGGGACCCGUAGCAAGCCUAACAUACAUCCUGAUAAACUGAUUAAUCCCAUACAUGAUCGACAAUUUACAUAAAAAUUAAAACUUUUCUUUCAUUCAUCUUCUCAUGUACCAACCUCAACCUGUGCAUGCACUGAACAUAAACAUAACUAUAAACAUUGAUCCCUCUGUGGGAUCUCAUCAAUGCCCCAAUGGGCGAUAUACAUGUGUUGAGUUGGCUAACAUCUUUAUCAUAAAACAUCUAAGAUCAUGCAUCAAAAGGGAUUACAAUAAACUAUGGUCAAGCACACUUCUAAACCUCAGUAUCGUUAUACAUAACAUAACUAUUCAACUUUACAUUAUCUUACAAUUUAUCAUGUCCACUUUCUAAUUAUUACAAACAUAAGACUUUACUCUUCUUGACUUCUUUGUCUAGCCCGUACCUGCAAUCCUGGGGGAUUAGGGAAAAGGGGUGAGCUACAAGAGCCCAGUGAGCAGAGUAAUAGAAAACAACAUUUAAAAUCUCAUGCCAUCAUGUAAUGCAACACAUCACAACAAAUCACAUCUCGGAUGGUAUUGUCACCAAUAGUCCUCUACAUUCCAAAGUGCCGGGACGUAGAAUGGGUACAACCGGUCUUUCUCUUAACAUAACAUAUCAUAACAUACCAAUGUGCCAGGGACGUAGAAUGGGUACAACCUGGACUUCCAUACCGUAUCAUGCCGUAACAUCAUCAUACCAUAUGAGGACUAAAGGAUCAUCCAAUAACCAAUCCACAUCAACAUCAUAAAUGCAAUGCAACAUAUUCGUGAUUUCUAAUGCAAACAUCCUAAUUCAUCACAUGGCAUUCAUGAUGCAUGAACAUGCNNNNNNNNNNNNNNNNNNNNNNNNNNNNNNNNNNNNNNNNNNNNNNNNNNNNNNNNNNNNNNNNNNNNNNNNNNNNNNNNNNNNNNNNNNNNNNNNNNNNNNNNNNNNNNNNNNNNNNNNNNNNNNNNNNNNNNNNNNNNNNNNNNNNNNNNNNNNNNNNNNNNNNNNNNNNNNNNNNNNNNNNNNNNNNNNNNNNNNNNNNNNNNNNNNNNNNNNNNNNNNNNNNNNNNNNNNNNNNNNNNNNNNNNNNNNNNNNNNNNNNNNNNNNNNNNNNNNNNNNNNNNNNNNNNNNNNNNNNNNNNNNNNNNNNNNNNNNNNNNNNNNNNNNNNNNNNNNNNNNNNNNNNNNNNNNNNNNNNNNNNNNNNNNNNNNNNNNNNNNNNNNNNNNNNNNNNNNNNNNNNNNNNNNNNNNNNNNNNNNNNNNNNNNNNNNNNNNNNNNNNNNNNNNNNNNNNNNNNNNNNNNNNNNNNNNNNNNNNNNNNNNNNNNNNNNNNNNNNNNNNNNNNNNNNNNNNNNNNNNNNNNNNNNNNNNNNNNNNNNNNNNNNNNNNNNNNNNNNNNNNNNNNNNNNNNNNNNNNNNNNNNNNNNNNNNNNNNNNNNNNNNNNNNNNNNNNNNNNNNNNNNNNNNNNNNNNNNNNNNNNNNNNNNNNNNNNNNNNNNNNNNNNNNNNNNNNNNNNNNNNNNNNNNNNNNNNNNNNNNNNNNNNNNNNNNNNNNNNNNNNNNNNNNNNNNNNNNNNNNUUAAAACAUUUCAUGAAAACAUGGUUUUACCCUUCUAGAGGUCUCCGACAUCCGAGAUUCCACCGGACGGUAGGAAUUCCGAUACCGGAGUCUAGCCGGGUAUUACAUUUUUAGUCAUCUAGGAUAUGCCAUAUGUGUGUUUUAUUAGAAAAUCCACCAGAAACUCACCCGAGUGACUAUUUUAUGUAAGUAUUUAAACUUUGAUGAUUUUUCUAAAAUAAACUGAAGUUGAAUGACUGUAAUUAAACUAUGAUUUAAGUUGAGUGACCAUAAAUGAAAAUUACCCCAUAAUAUACCUAUGAAGUAAUUAUGAGAAUUACAUUUAGGAAAAUUAGAUAUUUACACUUUGUAACAUUAUAUUAAUUUUUAUAAUUAUUAUAUUUCUCAAUAUUACUAAUAUUUGUGAUCAUUGCAUUUCUUAAUACUUAAAAGAAAAUAAAAUAUUUUAUAUAAAAAAAUAAAAAUAUUUGUGAGUUAUAUAAUUGUGAUAGCACAGAAAAAGAAAGAAUUGUUGUAUAUUAUUCUUAGGUACAAAUAAAUAUGUAUGCCAUCAUAAAAUAAAUAAAGAGGAAGAUAAAUACAAGACUGAUUUCAGCUUAAAAUUAUGUUGUUAUCAAGCUAAUGACAUAGAGAUUUUAUGCCUUCAAUACAUGCAAUGGUUACAUUAACAUCCCCUCUUAAACUCAAGAGGGUAAAGUAGGCACCAUCUUGAGUUUGGAAAGCAAAGUGUGAAAACGUCCAGGAAAAUGAGAUUUAGUGAAUAGACCAGUCGAUUGAUCAAUAGAAGAUAUGUAAUGAAGUUAAACUAUGCCAUUACGGAUGUGUUGUUGAAUGAAAUGACAAUCUAUUUCAAUAUAUUUUGUGCAUUCAUGAAUAUUUUGUGCAUUCAUGAAACACAUCAUUAUGAGCAAUUUGGAUAGCACUUUGAUUAUCACAAUAAAGAUUUGUAGCUACAGAGUAAUCAAUACCCAAAUCAAAAAGUAACCAUCGCAACCAAAUGAGUACUGUAACGACCCGAAAUUGGAUCGCUACCGGCGCUAGGAUCCAGAUCGACUUAAGGUCGCCGGGACCCGUAGCAAGCCUAACAUACAACCUGCUAUACCUGAUAAAUCUCAUACAUGAUCAUACAUUUACAUAAAAAUUUUAAACUUUUUCAUUCACCAAGCUUGAUUUGUGCAUGCAUCAUAACCAAAACAUAAACUCCACACAAGAGCCCUCAUCAAAUGCUCUAGUGGGACAUCAUAUCAUAUAUCAAGCUUGGUCUAGCAUUUCUUAACAUUAAAACAUUACACAUAGAUCAUGUAUCAAAAGGGAUUAACCACAAACUCUAGGGUCAAGCACAAUACUAAUCCUCGAUACAAAUUUAUAUAAUAUCUUACAAUACAUUACAUUACAUUAUCUUUCAUGUCCACAACUAACUAUUACAUACACAAUACUUUUACUCUUGAUGACUUCCUUGCCUAUCCCGGACCUACAAACCUCGGGGUUAAGGGAAAGGGGUGAGCUACUAGAGCCCAGUGAGCAGAAUAGUAAAACAAUAUAUUAAAUCAUAUGCUUUCAUGGAAUGCAUCACAUCACAAAUAAUUCACAUCAAGGAUGGACUUGUCACCAAUAGUCCUCUACACAUUCCAAUGGUGCCAGGGGCGUAGAAUGGGCCUCACUGGUCUUUCUCUUACUCUGUGCCAGGGGUGUAGAAUGGGCCUCACUAGACUUCUAUACCAUAUCAUCAUCAUCAUACCAUAUCGAGGACUAAUGGGUCAUCCAACAUCCAUCCACAUCAACAUCAAAAUAUGCAAUGCAACAUAUUCGUGAAUUCUAAUGCAAACAACCUAGUAUAUAUCAUGGCAUUCGUGAUGCAUGAACAUGCUUGAAAUUUAUUUGCUUUGAAACAUAAAGAUCCAUUCUACUUACCUCAGGCUGACUCUGACAAACUCUGAAGCAGCUACCUCACUGCUGGGGUCCUCGGUUCCUCGGGUCUGAACCUAUACAGGUGGACUAAAAUGAGGGACCAAACAUACGCAACCAUGACUCUAAACAUCUCCCCAAAAACCCCCUAAAACACCACAAAACAUUCAUAGAAAGCAUGCAAGGGAAGGCUGGACAGGGCACUUUCGGCAGCAGGUUCUGCGGCCGAAAGUCCCUCCAGAGCCGAAACUCAGCCACUUUCGGCGGCAGGUUCGGCAGCCGAAAGUGGUUCCAGAGCCGAAACUCACCAACCUUCGGGGGCAAGUUCGGCGGCCGAAACUCCCUUUCAGAGCCGAAAGUCCAAACUUUCGGGAGCAGGGUUCGGCAGCCAGAACUGCCUCCCCAGGCAGGUUCGGCGGCCGAACAUGGUUUCGGUUGCCGAACUUGAGUUCUUCCAGAAUGGCAGAACUCAGCCUCUCAUGCACAAACAGCUUCCCAAAUCCUCCAAACUCAAACCAAACCAUACAAAAAUAUGCAAAAACACAUCCUCAAGCAUUUAGGGGUCUAAAACUAACCUAUACCCCAACCAUAAACCCUAAUAUUCACAACUAACCUAAUCAUGCAUUAAAACUCUCUAAAACCCCUCAAAACUUACUUAAAGUAUCAAAGAAGGGUAGGAUCCCCACUUACCUCUUGAAAAACGAGAGGGGAGGCGAUCCAAACUUGGAGAUGGAAGAAAUCAAGCUCCGGGGUCUCCAAGCUUCCAACUUUGAUCUUUAGCUCAAAAAUCUUCAAAACCAAGUUAAAACUCAUUAAAACUUGAAGGAUUUGAGGAGAAAACACAAGAUCGACAAAAAGGGUGGCGGAGACUCACCUUGCCCAAAAAUAGAGAGAAAAACUCGCCCAUUUUCGGACAGGGGGCCUUUUAUAGGUGGCUGGCCAAACCACCUUCAGAAGCCAAAAGUGCCUCCACAACUCCAUGUUCGGCGGCCGAACAUGAGGUUCGGCGGCCGAACCUGGGUUUCUCCUCUAAAACAUUUUCUUUCAAAACUCAAUUUCUUCUUCAUUAAAACCAUAAAAACAUGUUAAAACAUUUUAGAAAAAUAUAUUUUACCCUUCUAGAGGUUUUCGACAUCUGAGAUUCCACCGGAAAAUAGGAAUUCCGAUGCCGGGGUCUAGCCGGGUAUUACAAGUACAUCAGUGGCAUAAGCUAAAGCAUGAUUUUCUGCUUAAGUACUUGAACGAGAAACUAUUGUUUAUUUCUUACUUCGCCAAGAAAUCAAAGAAUCACCUAGAAAGAAACAAAAGCCAGUAGUAGAUCAUCAAUCGGUAGAAUCACUUGCCCAGUCAGCAUCAACAUAGGCUCGUAGAUACAAGGAAGGCUGAUUUGAGAAAUGUAAGCCAUGAAAGAGAGUACCCUCGACAUAACGAAGGAUGUGAAGGACAGAUGCAUAGUGAGUUGAACGAAGGGCUGACAUAAACUGACUUACUACAUGAACAACAUGUGCAAUGUCAAGGCGAGUAAAAGUGAGAUAAACAAGACUUCCAACUAAUUGCCUGUACAGAGAAGCGUCAGACAGAAGAGUGCCAUUCGUGGGAGCAAGACGCAUAUUCGACUCUAGAGUAGGAGAUGUGAUUUUGCUAUCGGUUAAACCAGCCUUAGAAAUGAGUUCGGAUGCAUAUUUAGCUUGGGAGAGAUAAGUACCAUUGGAAGAAUGAGUAACCUCAAGACCCAAAAAAUAACUCAACAAUCCUAAAUCCUUCAUUUCAAAAGAUUGACAAAGAUGGUGCUUAAGUGCAGUGAUUCCAUUCGCAUCAUUAACAAUGAUGAUCAUAUCAUCAAAAUAAAGUAAUAAUAGAAUAAUACCUUUAUCGGAUUUUCGAAGGAAUAGAGCAGAACAAUAAGAACUUUGAUGAAAACCAUGUUGAAUAACAGUAUUGUUGAACUUAGAAAACCAAGCACGGGGAGCUUGAUUAAGACCGUACAAGGCUUUUCAAAGAUGACAAACUUUAAUUUGGUGGAUGAUCAUAGUGGAUGAGCAUAACCUGGUGGAGGUUACAUAUAUACUUCUUUAGAAAGUUCUCCAUUAAGAAAAGCAUUUUUGAUAUCCAUCUGAGACAGGGACCAUUAUUUAGCAGCAGCGAUAGCAAUUAAGCUGGGCACUGAUGUAAGGUGAGCAACUGGAGCAAAUGUCUCCUCAUAAUUAAUGUCGUAUUCUUGAGUAUACCCCUUAGCAACAAGACGUGCUUUGUGACGUUCAAUUGUACCAUCGGAACGAGUCUUGAUCUUGUAAAUCCAACCAAGGAUUUUCCUGCAGGCAAAUCAACUAAAUCCCAAGUGCUAUUUUUUUUUUCAAUGCGUGUAAUUCUUCAGUCAUGGCUUUUUGCCAUAAAGGAUUAGUACAAGCCUUGUGGUAGGUACGAGGUUCAUAAAGGGAGCUAACAGUUGAAAAAUAAUGGUAGUCAUGUUGAUAAGUAGGAGUUUCCCUUACCCGAGUGGAACAACGAAGAGGACUGGUGGAAGGAGGGGGAGCCUCAUCCAUAACAUAUAUAUUGGGAGAGGAUGUAAUAGGAGGUGCUUGAUUGAGCUCAACUGAAGAGGUACCUAUUGCAAAAUUACGGAGAUCAUAUGGAAACAACUCAAUGGAAGGGUCAGUAAAGAAAGGAGUAAUUGAAAAGGAAGACAUAGUUGAAAACUUACGAUGUUCCAAAAGACAACAUGACGAGAAAUUCGAAGACUUUGAGAGAUGGGAUCCCAACAUCGAUAACCCUUUUGUUCUAUGGAAUAUCCAAGAAAAUAACACAGGCAGGAUCGAGGUUGUAAUUUGUUAUAUUCAUGUGGUUGUAAAUGCACAAAGCAAGCACAACCAAAAACUUUGAGAAGACUAUAAUUGGGGGAGGUUUCAAAUAAUCAUUCAUAGGGAGACUGCUUACCAAUAGUAGGUGAUGGAAUGCGAUUGAUGAUAUGAACAGUUGUGAGAGUAACUUCUCCUAAAAAACAUUCGGGACAUAAAGAAGAAAAGAGAAUGGUACGAAUGGUUUUUAGAAUGUGCCAAUAUUUCCUUUCAGCUCUACCAUUUUGCUAAGAUGUGCCUGGACAAGAGUGUUGUAAAAUGGUGCCUUGCUUUUUGAGAAAUUUAAAAUGAUUUUGCUCUUUGUAUUCCAUUGCAUUAUCAGUUCGAAGAUUUUUAAUAGGACAAGAAAAUUGCAUUUAAAACAUUUGAGCAAAACUAAAAUAAAUGGCAGGUAACUCAAAGCGACUAUGCAUGAGAUAGAUCCAAGUAAAUUGAGAGUAAUCAUUGAUAGAAAUAACAAAAUAUUGACAGCUACUAAAGGUAUGAACAGGAGCAGGGCCUCAAGUGUCCGAAUGAAUUAAAUCAAAAGGUUAGGUAGAAAUUGACUCACUAAGAGAGAUGGUUGUUUAGCAAGUUGACAUGAAUGAUAAUAAAUAAUAUCAUGUUUUACAUUUCCUAGAUAUCUUGUGGAAACAAAAAACUAUAAAUGACCAAGGGAGAUAUGACCUAACCGUGAAUGCUAAAGAGUCAACAGAGAUGGAUAAGAAACUAAAGUAGCGGUGGUGGAGCAAGCAUACAUUUUUAGAGUAUUGAUCUCAAAUAAACGGCCAACUUUACACCAUGUCCCAAUGGUCUGAUUUGUUUGAGGAUCCUGAAUAACACAACCAGAAGAAGAAAAGCGAACCUCAUAACCCAUAUCACAUAGUUGACCAACAGAUAAAAGAUUGAGACUAAGUUUUGGAACAAGAUAUGUGUUAGAGAGAGAUAAAGAAGGAGUAUAGACAUGACCAACAUGUGUGAUAAACAUUUGAGAACCAUCAGCAAUAUGUAUGUUAGAUAAAGAAGAGGUGGAUUGUUUUGAGACGAAUAAAUCAGGAUUGGUGGUCAUAUGAUUGAAGCAAAUAGUGUCAAAAAACUAAAAAUUCUAAAAAUUUGUACCUAUGGUAACAAACAUGGCAGGUGAGAAAGGAUUACCAGUCACGACAGAUCGGUGUUGGAGAAAGUCUUGAAGAUCUUGCAUUGAAAAAGAUGGUGAAUGAGAGUUGAAGGUAAUUAUGUCUGUACUGUCAUCUGGAGUGACUGAAGCAGCAGUGCAUGAAUUUUGGUGUGAUUUAGAUUGAUCAAUCCCAAAAGAUCUUUUACGAGCCAACUUGCGACAAUCAAAGAUGUGAUGUCUAGGCUUCUUGCAAUAGCAACACCCUAUAGGACUAUUUUUGGAGAAGGAGCAACAACAACAAUAAUGUCAGAAGAAGUGUUACUAACAGCCAUAACCAUAUCAGUCCGUUAAAUGUGUAGAGAGCCAAGACAGGUUUCUUCUAAAAUCAAUUGUGAAACAGCUUGAUCAAGAGUAGGCAAUGGAAUCAUAUGCAGAAGAGAAGCCCAACUGGAUUCAAAUUUAUCUUUUAAAGCCAUCAAAAAUUGGAUCAAUUUGUCUUCAUUUCUGUAUUUUUAAAAUUUUUGUGCAUCAACGGGAUUCUCCUAAACAGGUUCUGAAAGAGUAAUUUGAUCCCAAAUAGAUCUCAUAUGAGCACAAAAAACGUGGAUUGAUUGUCCACGAUCUUGGUUUAUUUGAUGCAAAGUAUUGCGAAAAUGAUAGCAGAAAGCAAGAUCAUUAGUUACAUAUUGGUGUUUAAGCAUGUCUCAGAUUUCCUUAGCCGUUGCAAAAUAUCCGAACUCUUCACAGAUGGAAGGAACAACAAUGUUGCGAAACCAGGUGAUGAUUUGGUGAUUUAUGCAGUCCCAGUCUUCUAGUCUCUCGAUAUACUUGGUGUCAUUUUUAUCUGUUUUAACAGGGGCAGUGACAUCACCGAUGACUAUUUUCCAGAGCUUUCUGCCUUUCAAGAAACUGGUCAUCGUUACUAUCAUUUAAAACAAUAUCAAACUGUUAUGUCAGAUCAAAUUUCAAAGAAAACCAUUGUUAAUGAGACAGAAAGAAGGAUUGAAGUGGCUAACAAAAAGAAAAGUUAGAGCGUAGUUCUGACACCAUGAUAAUUAAAAAUGAGAAAGAAAAAAAAGAGAAAAAAUUGUUAUAUAUUGUUCUUAGAUAGUGAUAAAUAUAUAUAUUAGCAUAAAAUAACUAAAAAUUAAGAUAAAUACAAGACUGAUUUUAGCCAAAAAUUACACUGUUAUCAGGCUAAUGACACAUAGAUUUUAGGUCUUUAAUACAUGUUAUGAUGAUGUUAACAAAUUCCAUGAUAUGGUAUAUAUAUACAUAUAAAAUAAUAAUAUUUUUUAAAAAAGUAAUAAAUAUGUCAUUUUUAUUCAGUACUCAUUCACUUCAACUUAUUUUUUAUAAAAAAGUAUUAAUUAAAAUAAUUAAUAUAAAAAUAAUCAUAUCAUAAUGUCUAAUUAAAUCAAUUGUAUUUUAUUUUAAACUCUUAUUGUUCUAUAAAUUUAUUUAUCUAAAUUCAAUUAUUAAAAUUAAAAUUUUAUAAUUUUAAAUUAUUAAUUAAAAUUUAUUUAAAGAGAAAAGGAGAGAGAAAAGAGAAAAAAAAAAAAAGAAGAAACCAUCGACAAGAAACAUGUAAUGGGUGUGUAAAUUAUUUUCCUUUUUCCUAUUGUUUGACCCCUCGUCCCUAAUUUCUCUCGUCGAGAGUGUGGCUGGACUGAAUUUUUUGUUUUUUUCGCUUUGUUGUUUCUUUUAAUAUGGUGUAGAUUUGAGAGUUUUCUGCUGCGAGAGAGAUAAUAUAUUAAACAUAUAGUUUAAAGGGGUGCUCCGAUUGACUUCUAUGAAAGAUUCUGAUUUAAAUGAUAUUAGUAUCUCAGUAUCACACCACUACAUCUGAUGAUCAUUACUUUCAUAUAUCGUAGAUAGACUGAUCUCCUCUCUUUUAUGUUGUAUGAAUGAUCGAUCCUUAGCUUGAAGGCCUGAUGUGUAUUUGCCUGUGUUGCAUAUUGGUUUGCUUUUACUUUUCUUGCCGUCAUCGAUGACCUAGUCUCUUUCUGCUUAUGGUUGGAUGAUCAAUAUUUGUGCUCCACUUUUGAAAUAGUGUGUUGGUGAGUGUGGUGUUCAUAGGGUUGAGUCUGUGCAUGGAGACUAAUGUCGUGUUUGUUCAUUUUCUUAAUUCUUUUUCAAUUUAAUUUAAUUAUUUUAAAUUGAUUUAUUUUUUAUUAUUUGGAUUAGAUUAUUGUAUUUAGGGAUUUAGGCUUAUUUCUACUUUUGAUGGAUUGAACCUUUAAUUUUAAUUUUUUAACUCUUUAUAGCACGAUGAACAAUGAAAAAUAUUUAAACUCUAAUAGUUGAGAUAUGAUAAAACUCACAAAAUAGUUAAUUAUUAAAUUUUUCAUAACAAAUUAGUUCAUAAAUUUAAUUUUUCUCUAAUAAAAUCAUCAUUCCAAUAAUAAAAUUUACUAAUAAAAAGAAUAAAUUACUGUUAUUAAUAAAAAGUAUAAAUUACUGUUAAUUAAUUAUUGACUAAAAGUUUUAUAUUUUUUAAUGUUUAAAUUAUUUCUCUACUUGAUUAAUAUUUUAUUUCUUAAUAAAUUUCUUUCAUUAUUUUAAUAAUAAAAAUUUAAAAUUAUUAUUUUAAUUCUUAAAUAUCAGUGAAUUUAUAGAUUUUAUACAUUAUUUAUUUUAUUAUUAUUAUAAAUAAUUUUAAUUUUAAAAAUAUAAAAUUAAUAUUCUAUAAAUAUAAAAAUUUUCAUACUUAUAAAAAUUAAUUUAAACAGACUCCAUAAGUAUAAAAAUCAAUUUUUAAUUUUAAUUAAAUAUAAAAAUUGUUAUACUUGUACAAUUAGACGGACUCCUAAUAAUAAAAUUAUUUUUUAAUUCUAUAAUUUUUAUAUUUGCAGAAUAUAGAAAUUAGCUUUUAAGAAAAUUAAAAUUAUUAAUUAUUAAUUUUUAUACUUAUAAAAUAUUAAUUUUAUAUUUCAAAAAUUAAAAUUAUUUACAAAAAUAUUUGUUAUUAAAAAUUUAUUGAAGGAUUAGUGUUUGAGUUUUAUUAACAUCUGGAGUCCCGGCUUUAUUUAUUUAUUUUCCUUUGAAGACAGAACUCACCCAAGUGAAGUUAACCAGUAGAUUGAGAAAUAAAAAUUAUGGAAGACGCGAAGCACCCUCGUCUCAUCCUCCAUGAAUUCCUUUCCCUCGAUGAAUGCAAGGAAUUGGAAUUCAUUCAUAAGAGUAGCAGUACUGUGGGCUAUCGUCCCAACGUCUUCUCCACCACUUCCUUUCAUCUCAUCGCUACGAAUUGUCUCCACUUUAUCAUCCCUUUCGUUCCCAUCCGAGGUUAUUUUUCUUUCCUUUUGUUUUCCUGGUCUGUUAGUUUCCUUCAUACCUUGGUCUCCUGUUUUUUUUUUUGACUGUUUUCGUUUCGAUGACAGAGAAAGUAGAGGAGUUCUUUGGCUGUUAGUAUGAGCUAUUCGUGGAAUUCACUGGUAUGAUUAGGUUGGUUUUGUGUUUCUUUUUCUCUUUACUCUAAUUCUACUAAUCCAGCUGCAAUGGAUCACAGAUUUGGUUUUUUUUUUUGUCUGGAAUUCGUACUUGGAUAGAUUUUGAUAAUUUUCAGCGUAAUUGGGAAACUGGGUUUUUGCUUUAGGAUUUUUCUAAGACAACAGUUGUUGCAAUCUUGCUUGAUCAUAAAUCUUCAUCUUGCUUAUUUGAUCCUGAGUCCUGACGAUAUGCUGCCUUCUGAUUCUGAAUCAGCUGGACUAAAGGAGCCAGCAUUGGAUGGCACAGUGAUGAUAAUAGGCCCUAUCUGAAACAACGGGACUUCACGGUAAGUGAUCAUAUUAUCUCUUUGCUUUUGUGAGUUUAUCCAUUGCUCCAUCAUUGCGCUAUUUUUAGUUCAUUUUUUUUUCUCCCUUCCGUAUUUUGUAUUCCUCGAUUCGUUUAAUGUCUCUUACAUUGCUAUCUUCUUUGCAUUACGUUAUUUAAUUCUGCUAAGAGUUUUUCAUGCUUCUCUCUUGGCGAAAAGGCAGUCUGUUACUUAAAUACUUAUGCAAAGGAUUUCAAAGUUUUCCUUCUUGAAAACCUUUUCUGGAAUGUUUACUCCACUACUCAGGAAAACGUGCAUAUUAUUCUAAAUCUGAUUCGCAUUUUUUUUUUCUAUAUGUACUUAACCGUUAGUACAUGCAAAUUGGGACCCAGACUAGCCAAAAGGUCAAACUUGCUUUAAAAUGGUAACUUUGAAUUUUAUCCACUGAUAUCUGAAAUUUUUUGCCAUUCUAAUUGAUAGUACAAUUCUAUUGUUGGACAGCCUCGCAGUUGCUUAUAUCGGACCAGGAAAGUUGCAAGGUAAUACAAUUAUCACAAUCACAAAGGGAGAAAAUUAUUGCCUUGAAGUCCUUCGUUUUGAUGGAGCAUCAGCUGGUGGAAUUGGUGUUCAGCUGUGUCGACAGCAACCAGAAAUGUGAACGUUCCUUUGAUUGGGCAAACUUUUCUGCUGCCAUUAUUGCAUGGGAAGAUUAUUUACAUAAAUUACACAAAGAGUUACUAUUGAGCUUACCAUAUUGGAGAACAGACGGAAUUAUAUACAUUGUUCCAUUUGAAGGUUCUUGACAAGGGAUUUCAAGUUGGGAUUUCAAGUUGUUUAUAACAUUAGUGACUUGAGCUGCAGCAUUGGCCGGUUUUGUUGUUCGGCAAUUUCCUUCCCCUUGCACUUCUACGUUUUCUUAAUGUAUGUAUUUCUGCUCUAAGUUGGAUUUUCUAAUACAACUCAAACAGCAUAAGAUCAAAUUAUUUAUGUUGAUUUUUUGUGGAAUCUGUAAAAUGAGUAAAAUUGCUCUACAUGUUGAUUGAAACUCAAAGCAAUCCAAUGAUUGGAUCUCUCCUUGUGCUCUCAAAAGGAAUGCGUGGAAAUCAAACGACAGUUCAUCCUCUGGAAAGAGGCAAUGCUUCAGCAGAAAGAAAAAGGUAAAAUCAUCAAAGAUUUUUAAAUAAAACUAAUUGUAACUACCAAUAUGAAUUUUUACAUUUGUACAUCAGUAUGGAAGCCUAUAAAGCGUAGUUCACCUAUGUUUUUUGAAGGUCAUUACAAAUUCUCUUUUUUAUUUGCAUCUGCCCUGCAUUUUUUUUUGUAUUUAUAAUAGUGAUGGUAUAAUCCUAUUAGCAAUUAUCGAUUCUUGCAUCUUUAUGCAGCUGAGUGACUCUCUUUGGAUAUGCUCCAUUGGUGCAAAACACUGCCAUAGGCAUCAUAAAAUGCAAAAGCGGCCGUGGAGUCGGUCAUUUGCACUGACAUAAAUCCUUGGCCAUCAUAAUAUAACUUCAAUUCCUCUGGAUCCCACUUCCUUAUAUCACCCCUCCAGGCCUUUGAGCCGCCUCCACUUGUUAUGAAUUGAAUGUUGCUGCAUUGAGAAACAAUUGAUUUAGUGUUUUGCAUAAACUUUUUUAACGAUGUUUCUUGUGGAAAUCUAUAGGUUGUACCUGUGACUGCUGCUGAUAUGUUGGAUACAGUGAUCAUGCCCGUUUAUGUAAGCAUCAACAUUAUGUUCCUGGGAAAAUAAUUGAGAAAAAAAUGGCAACUUCAAGGUUCAUCAAUAUUCUUUUGGUAAUUACUGGCUGAUUCAUAUAUUUUUAAAUUACCUGUAGAAUUGGAACAAGCUGCUGUAGAAGCUCUACUGUGAUUCCAUGGUGUCCUGCACUUAAGAUGGCAUGGUGGCCAACAACAAGUUUCCAUUUUGCAUUGGAGCUGCUCAGUGCUGCAUCCACAUCCUAUUACAGAGGUGAAAUCAAAUCCAUCAUUAGCCUUCCCAGUUGUGCAUUGAAUUAUUUGUUUUAUUUACCCUUUAAUUUUUUAGAAUAGCUUUUAAACUUUUGUUUGGAGUAAAUAAAUAUAAGAAUUCAUUUCAACUUUUGCAUUAUGUCAAAUAUGGAUUUACUAGUAAAUUUCAUAAAAUAUGCAUGUGAAUUUUCAAGCAUUACCUUCAACAGAUUUGCAAGGUAAGUCUCCCUAGGAGAAAUACCUUUCCAGUCAUAGUUAUGUUCUGGGUUUGUGAAGUAGUCAUUCACAAAUGGAGAUGUGUCCACAAAGAAAAUUUCAACAAUUUCUACAGAAAUAAGACAAAAAAAUAAUUAAAAUAUUAAUAUCAAUUAUGCCCUGGACAAAUCUCAAGCAGUUUGUUGCUUCAGGAUUUAAAUUUUUAGAAAAAAAUUAAAAAUUAGGACUUUUAUUUCUUCUUCUUAUUAUUUUUUUGUUUACCUGCAUUGACUAUAAAUGACCUCAUGCAAAGCCAUCUGCUAUCCUUUUGUGUGAGGAUUGGAUUCAACUGUGCUUCAACAUCACCUCUGUAAUCAUGGUUACCCAAAACUGCAGAAAAGGAAAUAAUGAAAAAAUUAAUUAGAUUAAUGGGUUCAUAUUUCUCAAAGCAUUGAAUAGUAUAAUAAUUGUAUUAAAUUUGGAGAAUUAACAUACCACUGUACCAUUGCUUUUGCAAGCUUGGGGCUGUGUAGAUAUUAGUAAAAGACUCAUAAAAAUUUGGAUCAUCAAUUCCUGUCAAGCCAUCUUCAUAAAAAUUAUCUCCCGUAGAUAUCACAAAAUCUAUGUCUUGUUCCUCUCCAAUUACUCCCAUCUGAAAAUCAUUUUACCAAAUAUAAAUAUAUACGUUUAUCAAAACUGAUGAUUAAUGUCAUGUGAAAUUAUUUAGAAUUCAGGGUUCCUAAAAAAAACAAAAUAAAUAAAUAAAUAGAGAUACUUAUAAACCCAAUUCUUCUACGGUACCCAAUAUUGAAGAGAAUUGUUGCACUCUCAGGGUCAUGAAAUAGAUAAUUUCAAAAGGCUGAAGAAGAAAAGGCUUAUAUAAUUCAUAUCGUUAUGGAAGCAACUUUCCUUUUAUAAUAUACAAAAAAAAAAAAAUUUGUAGAAAUAAUUUUUAUAAACUAUAAAGUCAAAAUUGAAAUUUAUCCUUAAAAACUUGUAUAUAUAGAUGUAAAAGCAGGAGAGUAGAGAAUUCAUAUAUGAAUGUAAAAGGGAAAAAGAAAAACAAGAGAGGACCUGUGAAGCAACUUCAGAUUGGUUGAAAAGUCCUCUUCUUCCCCAAUCUCCAAUCACCAAGAAGCUAAGAGAACCAUCAGAUUUCAAUGGCUGCUGGAAACGUUGAAGCUCAGCCAAUGAUGAAAAAGAGCAGAAACAGAUGAUGAAGGCUGCAAAAAUAAGAGGAAGCAUGGUGGGUUUUGUGAAGCCCAUAGUUGAAUUGUGAGAUGAAAUUGUGAAAAAGUGGAUUCUCUAAGCAGAAAAUUUAAGGGAAAAAUGGGAGUUAUCUUUGGCGAUUCGGAAGUUGGCCAUGCAAAUACAAUAACCCUUUAUAGCUUCGUGGUGGAGGUUGGUUUGCCGUAACUUGUGAGGACAUGAAAUCAAAGUUGUUUCAAAUUCUUUUCAUCUUAGCAUAGCUAACUAUAAACAUAUAAAGGAUGAUAAUUAAAUACCAUUUUAAAAGCUAACCAAUAAUAAAUUAGUAAAUUGCUCAUUAACACUUUUACAAAUUAGUGUUUUAAUUUGUAUUUGUUGUAAUUUAAAGUUGUAGCUAUUUAUAUAUCUUUUUAAAUUAUCCCUUAAUUUUCCUUUAAUUUUGAAAAUCAUAAUCACAUUAAAUUUCACAUUCAAAAAAAGUUUUGUUGUCAAUUAUAAAAAUAUAUCAACAAUCUUAAUUUUUUGUGACAUAAAAAUUUAUUUAUAAUUAUUUUAUCCCUAUGUAAUCAAUUUUUAGUUAUUAUUAUAUGAAUAUAUUAUAUUUGGUAUAACUAUUUGAGCUGGAUGAGAGGAAACUUUCACGUCCGGUUUUGAAGGGGGAAACUCUAUAAGAUCCUAUCCCAAUUUUUCUUUUGCUAGUAUAUUAUCCAAAACAUUAAUUAAUUAAAAAAUAUACUUAUGUAUUUUUAUUGAUUGUUCAAUGGCUCAUUAAGAUUAGUUUUAUUAAAUCUUAGUUUCACAUUGCAGGAAUAUGUUUUGGUCUCUUAUGUCCUAGUUUUUAUUAUGAUAUCUUCAUAUUAUAUUUUUCGUUUAGUGUCUUUAAAUUACAUAUUGAAUGUAUUGGUAGAUUUACUAAAAAAGUAUGGUAUGGACCCUAUUAAGUUUUUUUUUAAUUAUUUAAAAGUAAUAAAAAAUAUAAUGUAUAAAAAAAAUAAUAAAUGCACUACUAUUAUUAUGUGGUAAAAGUACAGUCUCUAAAUUUUUAUUAAUUAUAACAAUUAUACAUUGUUCUAAAAUUUGGCACUCUCUGCCUUUGAUUUAGGGAAAAUUAUUAUGUAGUAUAUACAAAGAUUUUAUUGUAGCUAUUAAUAAUAGUGGGUUCCAUAUAAGUCUUACUGAAUACUAAUUAUUUGCAUCAGUGCUACCUGAACUUAGAGGUUAUAACAUAAUGCUAAUUAAUAAUAAUUUGUAACAAAAAAAAAAAAUCUGAACUUCAAUUGAGGUAACGAUAAGCUAUCUAUGGACUGAUUGGUAAUGAUUGAGCUCUAGAAAAAUGAACGCGGCCUUUGCAUUGACAUUGUAAAUAUAUAUAUAUUUUUUCCAGCAUAGAGCACUACUAACCAUACUAGUGCUAACUAUGUAAGACUAUUAACCCAAUUAAAAUUGUUUUCAAUUAUUCCUAAGCCCUAAACUUUUUCAUUUUAGAAUACCCAAAUCUUCCUCUGCAUCUCUCCCUCCUUCUCAGAUGUCUUGAGCCUCAAGUAGAAUUGAUCAAAUAUGCCAUUUGUUGUCGAAGAGUUGAAGGUGUGGGAUGGAGGUUGUGAUUAAAACUUCUUUGACAGAUAGAAAUCAGAUAGACCCUUGGCUUUUCUCUGUCUUCUGGUUUGUCUAUCUCUUUCACAAUCAACAAAACCAAUCUAAAGCUUGAACUAAGUUUUCUAACAUUCAAAAUUCAUUCUAAAUCUCAUUUUAAGUUUUCUCUAAAUUUCUCUACCUAAUCCCAUCUCUCAUUCAACAAUUGAAUAUCAAAAUUCAUUUCAUUUAGAGACACUAAUCUUCGCUUAAUCAUGGGGCAAAAGAAAGAGAAACGGAACGGUCAAGGAUAAAAUAAAAUGGACUGUAGGAUUAAAAUAUUUAACCAAAUUGGUGUUCUUUCAUUUGCUGAGGGUCCUAGCCGGCAAAAGUAAAUAUUAAAAAUGCCACCAAAUAAUGUCAUACCAAUUUUUCGGAGCUAAACCAAUCAGCUAAUGUAUAUUUUAUUGUUAUUGAAAUUAAAGUUCAGACAUUUUUCUGUUACAAAUUAAUUAUUAUGUACUACUAUAUUACAACUCCUUAAUUUAGACAGCAUCAGUGAAAAUCACCCAAUUAAUAGUCAAAAUUUAACUGUUUUAUAUAUAACAAUUAUAAUAAAAUUUCUCGAUUCAGCAUUAAUUAAUCUGUCCUUGAAUAAUUGAUAAUUAAUUUAAAAAAAGUGUGUAUAAUAAAAUAUUUUCAAACGUAGAUCAAAAUGGAAGUAAAGGAUAGCUUAGCUAAAUUAAAUAUUUUAUAG
rnacentral:lncRNA from 1 species